GAACAAUUUGCGUGUUAACGUUACCUAAUAAUAUUUGGCUGGUGUCCAUUUCGUGGCUGCAGGUUGUAGACUGCACUGCCUGGCAGAGUCUAGACAGCAGGGACACAACGACAAUACACCCCGGCAGCCUAUAUUCAAAGCUCGUCUGUCUCUCCAUCGAAGGGCACAGCAUCUGUCUCCAUAUGAAUGCUGCUGGGCUCACUGCUUCCCACCCAGCCAAUGGGAGUGCGGUUGAAGGAAGGCCGGCAGUCAAUGUCGUGUUGGUACACCACUGGAGGUUCAGGCUCCUCUUUGGUCGACUCAGCUUCUGGCAGCUGGAAUUUCAGGAACUGGUUGGCCUUCUCGAAUCCACCGAAGGGCAUGGCACAUCUAGCAGAGAAAGUCCUGCACCUCCUGCUCCUCCUGCACCUCCAGCUCCUCCUGCUCCUCCUGCUCCUCCUGCUCCUCCUGCUCCUGCACCUUUGCUUCCAGGCUUUGGAGGAGGCACAGGCACCCCUCCUGCAGUUUGUAAUCCUAC